UGAAGAUCAAUCGAUAAAGAUCGUAGAUCACAAAGCAUUAUUCGAUAAAACAUAGGGUUUUAGCUUUAUCUUCUCCAACCCUCUAUUCUAUCUCUCUCUAAACUUUAACCCUUGAAAUCAAAACUGUGUUAUGUCUUGGAUUUGUGUAUGAAAUAAACCAAAACCCUUGAUUGAAUCAGGUCGAAACCCUUGAAAUCAUUUGAAGAAGAAGAUGAAACCCUUGAACUGAAACUCAGAGCAUCCAAAUCAGUUUUUUAAAGAAGAUGAAACCGACUCUUCAGAAUGUUGAAAUCAUUUGAACCAACCAUCUUCAGAUCCAGAUUCAAGCGUGGAGUCUUUGAAGGAGUUCGAAGUUGCUCAUGGUCAUUGAUUCAACAUAGAUGUUGUGGAUUCGACGUCAAGCUGAUCAAUUUUGAGACAAAUGCGUUGGUGAAAGAGACAUGGAUUGUUAAAGACAAUUUUACAGAGUUUGGGGUUACUUGAUGCUCUUUGGUCAUUUUGAUGUUCAAUGGUUUGGCUUUGAAGUUUGGUGGUGGUUGGAACUUUUUUUUGCCAUGCCGUGUCAGUGAAGUGGAUCAUCCUACAGUUUUCAACACUUUUUGUGUACAUU